rnacentral:lncRNA from 1 species
AUCCUCACCAAAUCCAAAUGACCCUAUAUAGUCUAAAAUAUUUUCCAUAGACCCAACCUAGCUCAACCCAAUCAUUUAUUGGAUUGGGCCAGUGUCUAUUAUCAAGACCUAUACAUGAACGCAGGUCAAGCAUGCCACUGUCCAAACCCACCCAUUUGCAGCCCUAGUAUCCUUCUUAUUUUUAUCCAAUUUGUACCCUUGGCUUCUUCCUCUCCAUGAUGGAUAUAUAUGUUUGACGUAAUGCCAUAGCCGCAUCUUUGAUCUGGUUGCAGCCACAUGGCCUUCCUAGGUGGUGCAUCAAAAAACCCAUGAAGUAUUACAUUUAGGGGUGA